GUAGUGGCGAGCGAACGCGGAUGGGGGCUAAAACCGUAUGUGUGUGAUACCCGGCAGGGGGUUGCAUGUGCGGUGUUGUGGGCCCCUCCUUGUCAUGUCUGCCGGCAUGGCGCAGUGAGGUGCGGGCAUAUAGACGAACCAGUGUGGAUGCUGGACCGUAGAGGGUGAGAGUCCCGUAGUCGAAAUGUGUUCCGCCGCUGUUGGGGGGGGUUGCCCCGAGUAGCACGGGGGCCCGAGGAAUCCCCGUGUGAAUCUGCCAGGACCACCUGGUAAGCCUGAAUACUACCUGUUGACCGAUAGCGGAUCAGUACCGUGAGGGGAAUGGUGAAAAAGUACCCCCGGGAGGGGGAGUGAAAUAGUACCUGAAACCAUGUGCCUACAAACCGUUGGAGCCUUCUUGUGGGGGUGACAGCGUGCCUUUUUGAAGAAUGAGCCUGCGAGUUAGUGAUACGUGGCGAGGUUAACCCGUGUGGGGAAGCCGUAGCGAAAGCGAGUCUGAAUAGGGCGAUUGAGUCGCGUGUCCUAGACCCGAAGCGGAGUGAUCUACCCAUGGCCAGGUUGAAGCGCGUGUAAGAGCGCGUGGAGGACCGAACCCACUUCAGUUGAAAAUGGAGGGGGAUGAGCUGUGGGUAGGGGGUGAAAAGGCCAAUCAAACUCCGUGAUAGCUGGUUCUCCCCCGAAAUGCAUUUAGGUGCAGCGUCACGUGUUUUCUUCCCCGGAGGUAGAGCUACUGGAUGGACGAUGGGCCCUACAAGGUUACUGACUUCAGCCAAACUCCGAAUGCCGGGGAAGUGAGAGCGUGGCAGUGAGACUGUGGGGGGAUAAGCUUCAUAGUCGAGAGGGGAAACAGCCCCAGACCACCGGGUUAAGGCCCCCUAAGCGUGUGCUAAGUGGGAAAGGAUGUGGAGUUGCUGAGACAACCAGGAGGUUGGCUUAGAAGCAGCCACCCUUGAAAGAGUGCGUAAUAGCUCACUGGUCAAGUGAUUCCGCGCCGACAAU
rnacentral:rRNA from 1 species